UUCAUUUCGUUGCAUCACAUCCUUCCAUUGGAUAUCUUUUUUCAAACUCAUCACUUCACCGUUGGUCAUCGGAUUAAGACAAGGGACAGAGCUGAUAGAAGAAAAAGAAGAUGGAGAGACAGAAUUGGGUCAGUAAUAGACAGAGCUCCCCAAAGCUCCGGUCAGAGUGCUGAAUUCUGAGGAGGGACUGCAGGCAACAAUGUCGUCACCAGCCUGACCUUCCCAUUUUUGCAAAUACUGCGGACACGCUCUCUGCCCACAUGAAAGCCGGGCAUCGUUGUGCACCAGAUGUAGCCAAGAGUCAUCACAGUGUCUAACAGACAGCUGUCUGCGUGGGGCCCCCCCUAAGGACUUGCCUUUCUAGACCACCAUUGUAUCUCCAGUCCACCAAUCAACUGUCCUAUUUGUGCAAGACCAGGUUGCCGCAAUCACCAGCGCACGGUGGAAGGAGCUCGGUUUCCGGGUCUGGUCUUUGAUGGAUGUGUCUCGUUUUUGGCUGCCAACUGCGUCUUGCUGCAGAUACACCCGCAAACCCACCCCACCUCCUCCCCACCUGCCGGGGAUCUGACUGGCUUAUCCUCACGAGGCUCACGGGGAGUGCUUGAGCCUAUCCCAGCUGUCAACGGACAGGAGUGCGGGGUACGCCCUGAACUGGUUGCCAGCCAAUCGCAGGGCGCAUGGAGACAAACACCCACACUCACAAUCAAACCGAGGGCCAAUUUAGAGUGUCGAACCUGGGUCCUCAGUGCCGUGAGGCCAACGCUUUACCAGCUGAGUCACCGUGCCGCCCACGUAGUCAUCAUUCAGUGAAAAUCCAAUAUUUACCUGUUGUUGAUAAUGUACAUUUUACCACACUUUCCAGAGCCGCUUUAAGAGAAAAGCCAGUUGUUAUCACUUUGUUAAUGAAACAUCGGUAUUUUCCAUAAUGCGUGUGCUCAUUCGGGUCACGGGUGAGCUGCAGCCUGUCCCAGAUGACUUUGUGUUUUUGAAAUGUGGGAGGAAGUUCAAGAGUAGCCACACGAAGUCCACGCAAGCAAAGUGAGAACGUGCAGUACAGAUUCCACACCGGAAGGGUGGAGCAGGGAUUCAGACCCUGAACUCGAGAACUGUGAGGCAAAUGUCAAUCGCCAGCUAGACAGAGAGAAUAAAAACUGAUGGAUAGAUUUAAGUUUAAGUUAGUAACCUAGAUCAGCAUGUGGGAGGGCCACUCCUGUAUCAAUUUGCAUAAUAAUAAAACACUCUUGACACUUUUGGUAACUUCCGGCUUUGUGAGUCUGCUGCUAGUGUGUUGUUUUUUUUAUUAGAUUUUCACAUUCUUCUCCUUCUAACUUAAAUGGUUGUUAAAUAAUCGUACACUUUCAAGCAAUUGCUACUUUAAAGCUGAAAUACUGUACUGAAAUAUUGAAAGUGAAAUUCUGUAAAUACAUUCUUCUGAAUAAAACAGUCCACAUAAGA